rnacentral:tRNA from 1 species
UAUGUCUUAGUGUAGAGGCACUCGAAGUUUUGAUCUUCGAAGAGAUGGUGAGAUUCCAUCAGAUAUAG